rnacentral:tRNA from 1 species
GGGGUUGUAGCUCAGAGGUAGAGCACUUGUCUGGCAUGUGUAAGGCUCUGGUUUCAGUCCUCAGCCCCA